rnacentral:rRNA from 1 species
CCUGGCUCAGAUUGAACGCUGGCGGUAUGCUUAACACAUGCAAGUCGAACGGCAGCAUUUUCUAGCUUGCUAGAGAGAUGGCGAGUGGCGAACGGGUGAGUAACGCGUAGGAAUAUGCCUUAAAGUGGGGGACAACUUGGGGAAACUCAAGCUAAUACCGCAUAAUUUCUUCGGAAAAAAGCUAGGGACCUUCGGGCCUGGCGCUUUAAGAUUAGCCU